UACACAGGUAUUACUCAGUUUUUCUGUUUGAUAUUCAGAGAUGUGUCCACAGACUUCUUUCUGAAGUGGGAGUGCCUGAAUUCAACUCAAAGGAACCUACACAGGGGUUGGUGAUAUCCAAGGAUGUGUCCAUAGACUCUUUUCAGGAGUGUGAACACCUGGAUUCAGACUACAGAUUCAUAUAGAAAUGUGAUUCUAGAAAACUGUAACAACCUGGUUUCAGUUGUUAAAGCUGUCGCAGAUACAAUAGCAGAACCACACUCCAUGGUCACAAAGAGAGGCCGACGCGUUCACACCAGCAGGAAAGGGUCACGCUCCAUCCCCGCCCCCUCCAGAGGCAGGCCAGGCUGCGGGAGGGCCCAGCGGCGCCUCUCCUCCAGCCUCCUGACUCAAUUCGCCCGGAUUCCCUCCACCGACCGGGAUUUUCAGUCUUGGCGAGUCGGGGUUUGGGGAGUACCGACCACAGCGGGGUCCCACCUGGGAAAAGAACUUGGGCGCAGGGCUCAGAACCACCACGCUGGGCCAUAAGGCCACCAGGGCUGCACUACAAGUCCCAGAAGGCAUCGCGGCGGAAACAACUUCCGGCCGGCCCACCCGUGGGGGCGCCGCAGAGCUCAGACACGACUCCGGCGGCAGCAGGGGUUGACGGUCGUCGGCUCGGGACCGGCAGGUCGGGGCUGAAACGCCGAGGAAUACUGUACUGCGAGGCAUCGGCAGGCUUGGCGGCCCCUCUCUCGGGUCUUUCGUUCUGGACUACAUUUCCCAGAGGCCUCCGGGCGCAACGUCAGCCCUUCUGGGUUGUCAGAGCGGCGGUGCUGAAGAGUUGGAGGCGCCCGGCCGCCGAGGCAGCGCGGCCUGUGGGUUUGUAAUCUGUACAGCCUGGACCUGGGCAGGACGCCCGCCGAGCUGAAGAAGCCCUUCUCUCACACGGGCGACCCGAGAACAAGGAAAC